GUGAACGCUGGCGGUAGGCCUAACACAUGCAAGUCGAACGGCAGCACAGUAAGAGCUUGCUCUUACGGGUGGCGAGUGGCGGACGGGUGAGGAAUACAUCGGAAUCUACUUUUUCGUGGGGGAUAACGUAGGGAAACUUACGCUAAUACCGCAUACGACCUACGGGUGAAAGCAGGGGAUCUUCGGACCUUGCGCGAUUGAGUGAGCCGAUGUCGGAUUAGCUAGUUGGCGGGGUAAAGGCCCACCAAGGCGACGAUCCGUAGCUGGUCUGAGAGGAUGAUCAGCCACACUGGAACUGAGACACGGUCCAGACUCCUACGGGAGGCAGCAGUGGGGAAUAUUGGACAAUGGGCGCAAGCCUGAUCCAGCCAUACCGCGUGGGUGAAGAAGGCCUUCGGGUUGUAAAGCCCUUUUGUUGGGAAAGAAAAGCAGCAGGUUAAUACCCCGCUGUUCUGACGGUACCCAAAGAAUAAGCACCGGCUAACUUCGUG
rnacentral:rRNA from 1 species